rnacentral:rRNA from 1 species
UUUACGGAGAGUUUGAUCCUGGCUCAGGACGAACGCUGGCGGCGUGCUUAACACAUGCAAGUCGAACGAUGAAGGGGAGCUUGCUUCCUUGGAUUAGUGGCGAACGGGUGAGUAACACGUGAGUAACCUGCCCUUGACUCUGGGAUAAGCGUUGGAAACGAC